rnacentral:rRNA from 1 species
UACGUAGGGUGCAGGCGUUGUUCGGAAUUACUGGGCGUAAAGGGCGCGUAGGCGGGUUUGUAAGUCGUAUCCGUGAAAUCCCCAGGCUCAACCUGGGAACGGCGGGCGAAACUGCAGAUCUUGAGUGUUGGAGAGGGUGGCGGAAUUCCAGGUGUAGGAGUGAAAUCUGUAGAUAUCUGGAAGAACACCGGAGGCGAAGGCGGCUGCCUGGCCAAACACUGACGCUGAGGCGCGAAAGCGUGGGGAGCAAACAGG